rnacentral:antisense_RNA from 1 species
AGCCACCAAGGCCUCUGACAGCGAAGCGCCCCACCCGGGCGAAGGCGCGGGGCUCAACGGAGAGGGGACGGGGCGUGGCGAACUGUAAUGGGCAAUGAACAUGAACUAUUCAGGGGAAGAUUGUUAAAUGAAAGAAUCUCACCGGGCGGGGAGCCAAGCAUGACACCUGGCGACCUGCCUGUGCCUUGUGCCUGUCCUGCCGAGAAGAGAGAAGAGGCGUUGAAAGCAGCCAGCGGUGGUGCACACCAGCCUGGGCAGGGGGCAGUAAGCAGGAGCAGCCCCGACCCAAGACCAGUGGCCUCUCCCUUCACCUCCAAGCCGGAGCAUGGCCUCACCCCUCCCAGGUGACUCUUUUCCCAGAAAUGGGAAUGUCUCAAGAAGCCACCUCUCACCAAGCAUCUGCCAGGCCAUUUCAGCUCCCAGGAGUCCUUGUCCUGCCCCACCAGCUCUGUCUCAUCUAGAUGGGGCCCUCUGUCCAGUGGUACUGAACAGAAUGUUCUGCAUGCCUGGCCAAUGCAGAGACCU